UGGCGGCAUGNCUUACACAUGCACCCUCGAACGGCAGCGGGGGGAAAGCUUGCUUUCCUGCCGGCGAGUGGCGAACGGGUGAGUAAUACAUCGGAACGUGCCCUGUAGUGGGGGAUAACUAGUCGAAAGAUUAGCUAAUACCGCAUACGACCUGAGGGUGAAAGUGGGGGACCGCAAGGCCUCAUGCUAUAGGAGCGGCCGAUGUCUGAUUAGC
rnacentral:rRNA from 1 species